rnacentral:rRNA from 1 species
CCUACGGGAGGCAGCAGUGAGGAAUAUUGGUCAAUGGUCGGGAGACUGAACCAGCCAAGCCGCGUGAGGGAUGAAGGUACAGAGUAUCGUAAACCUCUUUUGUCAGGGAACAAAGGCGGGGACGUGUCCCCGGAUGAGUGUACCUGACGAAAAAGCAUCGGCUAACUCCGUGCCAGCAGCCGCGGUAAUACGGAGGAUGCGAGCGUUAUCCGGAUUUAUUGGGUUUAAAGGGUGCGCAGGCGGUCUGUUAAGUCAGCGGUCAAAGCCCGGGGCUCAACCCCGGCCCGCCGUUGAAACUGGCAGUCUAGAGUUGGAGAGAAGUAUGCGGAAUGCGCGGUGUAGCGGUGAAAUGCAUAGAUAUCGCGCAGAACUCCGAUUGCGAAGGCAGCAUGCCGGCUCCACACUGACGCUGAGGCACGAAAGCGUGGGUAUCGAACAGGAUUAGAUACCCUUGUAGUC